rnacentral:rRNA from 1 species
GAGUUUGAUCCUGGCUCAGGACGAACGCUGGCGGCACGCCUAACACAUGCAAGUCGAACGGAGAUAUUUUGGUUUACUGAGAUAUCUUAGUGGCGGACGGGUGAGUAACACGUGAGCAACCUGCCUCUGAGAGAGGGAUAGCUUCUGGAAACGGAUGGUAAUACCUCAUAACAUAACGAAGCCGCAUGACUUUGUUAUCAAAGAUUUAUCACUCAGAGAUGGGCUCGCGUCUGAUUAGAUAGUUGGUGAGGUAACGGCCCACCAAGUCGACGAUCAGUAGCCGGACUGAGAGGUUGAACGGCCACAUUGGGACUGAGACACGGCCCAGACUCCUACGGGAGGCAGCAGUGGGGAAUAUUGCACAAUGGGGGAAACCCUGAUGCAGCGAUGCCGCGUGGAGGAAGAAGGUUUUCGGAUUGUAAACUCCUGUCUUAAAGGACGAUAAUGACGGUACUUUAGGAGGAAGCUCCGGCUAACUACGUGCCAGCAGCCGCGGUAAUACGUAGGGAGCGAGCGUUGUCCGGAAUUACUGGGUGUAAAGGGAGCGUAGGCGGGAUGGCAAGUCAKAUGUGAAAACUAUGGGYUCMACCCAUWAAAYUGCAUUUGAWACUGUUGUUCUU